CGCCACUUUUGCUAGUUUGCCAUUCUAACGCAAUGCAGAGUCAACAACUUCUAAUGCUAACAUUUUGUAGCUUAAUAAAGAUUGCUUGAGGAUUUAGAAUUAUUUAGAUUGAAAUCCCUAGGAGGAAUUCAAAUUUGUAGAGAGUACUACAGGUGGUUGUCUUUGAACAUUUCCAGAGGGGCUAAGGUCAACAAAAGUUCAAUUGUGGUUUCAGAGUUAACCCUGUAGCAAUAUGCAUGAAUAUUUGUGAAGAAAAGUUUUCUUUUCCCACAUUGUGCAAAAUUGUCAAAUUUCUUAGCAACAAAAUGGCCACUAAAUCGUGGCUUGUGUGCCCAUCCCAUAAUAAUCUCAAAAUUUCCAUUGACUAUCUCUGAUACAUGUCUUUGGGGAUUGUUAGUGAGUUUUGAAACAUUCUUUUGAAACCCAUAGAAGAUUUUUGGUGAAUUUUUUUGUUUUUUGUUCUGACCGUUUCUUUUGGGGACUUUUUAAUAACAAAAUUCCUGUUUUUAUUUGUAAGUUCAAACCCCCCAAAUCAAAUAACUUCUCAUUCUCUUAAGGUGGAUGAGCUCCUUGAAGCUCCUCUUUCAGUUUAGCCCCCUGCUGGUUCCACUUUUGCCACUGUGAUCAUCUCAAUAAAGUUUUCUUCAAAGCUGUGUCUGGAAGGAAGCCUCCAUGUGCUUCAGGUCAACUGGAAGAUCCAUCUUUUGGCCUUUGUUCCCCCUGAGCACCACGUUGGAGGCAUCACCUUCUGCCAGUUUGGGAGGAGGCCGAACAGCCGCUAACACAUUCGGAGUUGUUGGAUUGAACUUUGACCAUCGAACAAUACUGCAAAGUCAAAAAGAAAUCCAAGGUGAUGGGUGAUUGGUCCACGUACCGAGCAUCAUGUUUCAAAGAUGAACAUCAAGAAAGCUGAUAAUUCUCAAGUUGGAGGGACAUAACAAAAGAUCUGAAAUUUGUCGUACAAUGUAUGUAAAUGGGGCAAUGCAAUUUUCUAGUGUAAUAAAUUCUAUUUUUAAGUCUGAA